rnacentral:tRNA from 3 species
GCAGAAGUGGCUCAGUGGUAGAGCAUCGCCUUGCCAAGGCGAGGGUCGCGAGUUCAAAUCUCGUCUUCUGCUCCA